GGAUACCUUGGAACACACUUUGUAUGUUUCAGGGACAUAGGGCACUGUGAUACAAUCAGCACAUACAGGCUGGGUUUCGAUUUGUGUUUUAUAUGUUUUAUAUGUUCUAUGUUUUAUUUUUUUCAUUUUUGUAUGUUCUUUUUAUGUAUAUAGAUUAAGAAAGUAAGGACAGUUAUUUAUACGUCCUUGCUUAUGUUUUUUUUAUAUAUAUUUUUCUGUUGUUUCCCGGAGCCUUCCCAGGUCCUAUACUAGUCACGAGGGUCCACCAAUUUCAAUGACCACACCACCCACUAUUCCCUUUUAUUAUUUAAAAUCUUUUACUACAUUAUACCAAUGUAUUACUAUAAAGAUAUUACACUCACAUCAGUAUUCAAUUUGCCUUUGUUGAUCAGAUAUAUGUUAGUUUGUAUGCGUAGGGUGAGUUGUGGUCAUUUGAUCUGGUGCCCUCUUAUGUCAUUUUUGAAAUUUUUUGACAUUUCAUAUUAUGGAUCAUUAUUUACAUUUGCACUCUUUUUCUUCUGUGGUGAUUGACAGGCUACACAUAGGUUAAUCCAGGAUUAUACGUGAGGAGACCUCCGGUAUACCUCCGAGUCCCUGUGAGCUAUGAGUGAACCUGUACAUUGAUGAUUCCACCUGGGGGAGUGUUCAUUCUCUGAGAACACCCCCCUCUAGGUUGUACACCUCCUUUAAACAUUAGCCAGUGGAUAAGCCUAAUUACGGUUCUUUCCGCGAGUGGAACGCAGAGACUUCCGGCCAGCGCCACUUCCGCGGAAUGGAACGCAUGGUGUUCCGGUCGGUGGAACGCAAAAGACGCGUCUCCGGCAGUUGCCCUUCCAAAUCGUUAAAAUACACUCAUUUAAGUAGCCGUGCGUUAGCGAUAGCCACUGCCUGUCCUGUGAACCCUGUAACGUUUUUCCCAGUUGGUCUGAGUUAGUUAUCUGAGAGGUGAUCAGUUAAUGAGAGACUGGGUUUAUACUAAUCUCCUUAAUUGGCACUUCCUGUGGUUGAUCCUUAAAUAGUGCUCAGCUGAGGCUGAACUUUAUGCAGCUUCCAUUUGGCUCUGGACACUUGAGCAACUGAGUGUCUGACACAUGUACAGAGCCCACAAGCUGCCAUGAGCUAUUUCUACAUGUAACUAGGUGACUACGCCUUGCAGCUUCCCCUACGUUAUAGGCUUUUUAACUUCAUUAUGUGAUCAGGCAUGUUGCCAACUUUGAAGGCCAUUCCACACAUCUGAGUGAUCUGGCUUGCCGUCCAGGUGAUUUAAGUGCCAAUCUUGAUAAAGGUCCGCAUAAGGACCGAAACGUCGAUGAAAUACGGCAUCAACAGUGAACCCGAAUAAAAAUAUACUGAAUUUACAAGUGACUUCAGAGACUAAUUUCUGGGCGUGAGUGCACCUUCCACCUAGGUGGUUGUUGUGGUAUAUUGGUGGCCUCUCUGGUCAUUAGGAGCACCCGCCGUCGUUAUUACUUUUGAUGAGAGUGCAGGAUCUUCCAAGACUAUAUAUAUAUAUA